CAGGCCUUGACUUCAGCCCCAGUGCCACUGCUGCCACUGAGAAAUGCUGCCUCAAGCCCCACACUGCUGGCCUUCACUGCCUCACACUGUUUCCCAAGUUGCGCAUCCCUCAUACCUUCUGCAAUCCACGUUCCAUUCCGUCCCCAAGCCGCACCUCUCAUUCCUUCCCCAAGCCAAAGUCCUGUUCCUUCCCCAAGGCGCAUGUCCCAUACCUUCUGCAAGCUGGCGUCCCAUUCUUGUGAUCCUUCAGAAAUCUUCUGGUCUUCCCGAAGUCUUGCGAGAAUCAGACACCGGUUUGCAGAAGGAACAAGAGGAACUAGCUUGGGGAAGGAAUGGGACGCCGGCUUGCAAAAGAUAUGGGACACGCGGCUUGGGGAAGGAAUGAGAGGGGUGGUGGAAUGGAAUUUUCCAAGUUGCAAUGCAGAGGGAAUUGAGAUCAGCAUGGAAGACUUGUCCCUGAUGGAUGGAGAAGAACUGGAGAUGGACCGAAUGGCAGCCUUGGAUGCUGAACUGGUUGGCAUAUCAAAGUCUACAUCCACGUAGCGGACAAAACGAGAAGGCACUU